rnacentral:rRNA from 1 species
CGGGAGCAAUCCUGGUGGCGAGUGGCGAACGGGUGAGUAAUAUAUCGGAACGUGCCCAGUAGUGGGGGAUAGCCCGGCGAAAGCCGGAUUAAUACCGCAUACGACCUACGGGUGAAAGCGGGGGAUCGCAAGACCUCGCGCUAUUGGAGCGGCCGAUAUCAGAUUAGCUAGUUGGUGGGGUAAAAGCCUACCAAGGCGACGAUCUGUAGCUGGUCUGAGAGGACGACCAGCCACACUGGGACUGAGACACGGCCCAGACUCCUACGGGAGGCAGCAGUGGGGAAUUUUGGACAAUGGGCGCAAGCCUGAUCCAGCCAUGCCGCGUGUGGGAAGAAGGCCUUCGGGUUGUAAACCACUUUUGUCAGGGAAGAAACGGCUCUUACUAAUAUUAGGAGCUAAUGACGGUACCUGAAGAAUAAGCACCGGCUAACUACGUGCC